rnacentral:rRNA from 1 species
UACGUAGGGGGCAAGCGUUGUCCGGAUUUAUUGGGCGUAAAGAGCGUGUAGGCGGCUAGGUAGGUCCGUUGUGAAAACUCGAGUCUCAACCUCGAGCUGUCGAUGGAAACCAUCUGGCUAGAGUCCGGAAGAGGAGAGUGGAAUUCCUGGUGUAGCGGUGAAAUGCGCAGAUAUCAGGAAGAACACCCGUGGCGAAGGCGGCUCUCUGGUACGUGACUGACGCUGAGACGCGAAAGCGUGGGGAGCGAACAGG